AGCCUGCGCCGAAGCCGGGGCCUGAGCCCAGGCCGCGCAGGCCGAGAACUCGUCGAGCUGCGUGUGCGGCCGGUGCUCAGCCUGCCGGGUCCCGGCCCCGCGCUCCCGCGCGCUUUGGA
rnacentral:pre_miRNA from 1 species